rnacentral:rRNA from 1 species
AUAAAUGCAGUCGAGCGACGGACGAGAAGCUUGCUUCUCUGAUGUUAGCGGCGGACGGGUGAGUAACACGUGGAUAACCUACCUAUAAGACUGGGAUAACUUCGGGAAACCGGAGCUAAUACCGGAUAAUAUUUUGAACCGCAUGGUUCAAAAGUGAAAGACGGUCUUGCUGUCACUUAUAGAUGGAUCCGCGCUGCAUUAGCUAGUUGGUAAGGUAACGGCUUACCAAGGCAACGAUGCAUAGCCGACCUGAGAGGGUGAUCGGCCACACUG